GAUGAACGCUGGCGGCGUGCUUAACACAUGCAAGUCGAACGGAAAGGCCCAAGCUUGCUUGGGUGCUCGAGUGGCGAACGGGUGAGUAACACGUGGGUGAUCUGCCCUGCACUUUGGGAUAAGCCUGGGAAACUGGAUCUAAUACCGGAUAGGACCAUCGUUUAGUGUCGGUGGUGGAAAGUUUUUCGGUGUGGGAUGAGCUCGCGGCCUAUCAGCUUGUUGGUGGGGUAAUGGCCUACCAAGGCGUCGACGGGUAGCCGGCCUGAGAGGGUGUACGGCCACAUUGGGACUGAGAUACGGCCCAGACUCCUACGGGAGGCAGCAGUGGGGAAUAUUGCACAAUGGGCGCAAGCCUGAUGCAGCGACGCCGCGUGGGGGAUGACGGCCUUCGGGUUGUAAACUCCUUUCGCCAAGGACGAAGCGUUUUGUGACGGUACUUGGAGAAGAAGCACCGGCUAACUACGUG
rnacentral:rRNA from 1 species